GGUCAAGCUAGUAAGGGCGUACGGUGGAUGCCUAGGCGCUAAGAGGCGAAGAAGGGCGUGGUAAGCUGCGAAAAGCCCCGGGGAGCCGCAAGCAGGCGUCGAACCGGGGAUACCCGAAUGGGGCAACCCACCUGGAGUAAUAUCCAGGUACCCUGUACUGAAUCCAUAGGUACAGGGAGCGAACCGGGGGAACUGAAACAUCUUAGUACCCCGAGGAAAAGAAAGCAAACGCGAUUCCCCCAGUAGCGGCGAGCGAAGAGGGAAGAGCCCAAACCUUAUGCAUGGAGAAGGCUGCAACCGUUGUGCAUAAGGGGUAGCGGGGCUUCCGGGAGUAGUUGCAGAUACUCCACGAAGGCGAAGGCCGUAGGAGAACAGGACUGGAAAGUGCGGCCAUAGGGGGUAAAAGCCCCGUAUCCGAAACGGCUGAAGUCUUCGGGAAGGACCCCAAGUACCACGGGACACGUGGAAUCCCGUGGGAAUCCGGGAGGACCACCUUCCAAGGCUAAAUACUCCUUAGCGACCGAUAGUGCACUAGUACCGUGAGGGAAAGGUGAAAAGCACCCCGGGAGGGGAGUGAAAUAGAACCUGAAACCGUAUGCCCACAAGCAGUCAGAGGGCGUUAAAGCCUGAUGGCGUACUUUUUGUAGAACGGGCCGGCGAGUUACGUUAACGAGCGAGGUUAAGGGGAAGACCCGGAGCCGGAGCGAAAGCGAGUCUGAAGAGGGCGAUAAGUUCGUUGACGUAGACCCGAAACCGGGUGAUCUACCCAUGGGCAGGGUGAAGCGAGAUUAAACUUUCGUGGAGGCCCGAACCGACCGGCGUUGAAAAGCCGGCGGAUGACCUGUGGGUAGGGGUGAAAUGCCAAUCGAACCCGGAGAUAGCUGGUUCUCCCCGAAAUAGCUUUAGGGCUAGCCUCAAAGGGAGCUUAACGGAGGUAGAGCACUGAUAAGGCUAGGGGCCUUACCAGGUUACCGAACCUUUUCAAACUCCGAAUGCCGUUAAGACAACUUUGGGAGUCAGACUGCGGGUGCAAAGAUUCGUAGUCGAGAGGGAAACAGCCCAGACCAACAGCUAAGGUCCCAAAAGACGGGCUAAGUGGGAAAGGAUGUAGAGUUGCUUAAACAACCAGGAUGUUGGCUUAGAAGCAGCCAUCAUUUAAAGAGUGCGUAAUAGCUCACUGGUCGAGUGACUCUGCGCCGAAAAUUUAGCGGGGCUCAAGCCCGUUACCGAAGCUUUGGGAACUGAGUGCACCACUGGUGCUGCAGUUCGGUAGGGGAGCGUUCUGUAAGCGUCGAAGCUGUACCGUAAGGAGCAGUGGAGCUUACAGAAGUGAGAAUGCCGGCAUAAGUAAGCGAGAAGGCAGGUGAGAAUCCUGCCCGCCGAAAACCUAAGGGUUCCUGGGGAAGGCUCGUCCACCCAGGGUAAGUCGGGACCUAAGCCGAGGCGGAGAGCGUAGGCGAUGGGCAAUCGGUUGAAAUUCCGAUACCACCUGGAGGCCGUUAACAGGAUGGGGUGACGCAGGAGGGUAGACACAGCGCACCGUUGGUCGUGUGCGUCCAAGCCAGUAGGGAGUGAGGCAGGCAAAUCCGUCUCACACACAUCCUGAGAGGUGACGGGGAGCGAAAUUAAAGUAGCGAACUGGUCGAACCCAGACUGCCAAGAAAAGCCUCUAACGAGGACUCCGGGUGCCCGUACCGCAAACCGACACAGGUAGGUGGGGAGAGGAUCCCGAGGCGCGCGAGCGAACCUUCGUUAAGGAACUCGGCAAAAUGACCCCGUAACUUCGGGAGAAGGGGUACCCCGUUAGGGUGAUAGUAAAAACUUACUGGAGCCCGAGGGGGUCGCAGAGAAGUGGCCCAGGCGACUGUUUACCAAAAACACAGGUGCCUGCUAAAGCGGAAGCUGAAGUAUAGGUGCUGACGCCUGCCCGGUGCUGGAAGGUUAAGGGGAAGGGUUAGCGCAAGCGAAGCUCUGAACCGAAGCCCCAGUAAACGGCGGCCGUAACUAUAACGGUCCUAAGGUAGCGAAAUUCCUUGUCGGGUAAGUUCCGACCCGCACGAAAGGCGUAACGAUCUGGGCGCUGUCUCAACGAAGGGCUCGGUGAAAUUGUAGUACCCGUGAAGAUGCGGGUUACCUGCGAUAGGACAGAAAGACCCCGUGGAGCUUUACUGUAGCCUGACAUUGGGUUUUGGUGUUUCAUGUACAGGAUAGGUGGGAGGCAGCGAACCACUGCCGCCAGGUAGUGGGGAGCCGACGGUGGGAUACCACUCUUGAAGCACUGAAAUUCUAACCCGAGGCCGUAAACCGGUCUGGGGACCGUGUCAGGUGGGCAGUUUGACUGGGGCGGUCGCCUCCUAAAAGGUAACGGAGGCGCCCAAAGGUUCCCUCAGCGCGGAUGGAAAUCGCGCGUAGAGUGCAAAGGCAGAAGGGAGCUUGACUGCGAGACCGACGGGUCGAGCAGGGACGAAAGUCGGGCUUAGUGAUCCGGUGGUCCCGAGUGGAAGGGCCAUCGCUCAACGGAUAAAAGCUACCCCGGGGAUAACAGGCUUAUCCCGCCCAAGAGUCCACAUCGACGGCGGGGUUUGGCACCUCGAUGUCGGCUCAUCGCAUCCUGGGGCUGAAGUAGGUCCCAAGGGUUGGGCUGUUCGCCCAUUAAAGCGGUACGUGAGCUGGGUUCAGAACGUCGUGAGACAGUUCGGUCCCUAUCCAUCGCAGGCGCAGGAAACUUGAGAGGAGCUGUCCCUAGUACGAGAGGACCGGGAUGGACAGACCGCUGGUGUACCAGCUGUCCCGCCAGGGGCACCGCUGGGUAGCCAAGUCUGGAAGGGAUAAGCGCUGAAAGCAUCUAAGCGCGAAGCCCACCUCAAGAUGAGGUUUCCCAUGGAGCAAUCCAGUAAGACCCCUGGAAGACUACCAGGUAGAUAGGCCGGGAGUGUAAGGGGGGUAACCCCUUGAGCGGACCGGUACUAAUCGGUCGAGGGCUUGACCAU
rfam:Moorella glycerini strain NMP genome assembly, contig: M_glycerini_NMP_DRAFT_scaffold-13